AACGCACCUUGCGCCCUUUGGCUAUUCCGAAGGGCAUGCCUGUUUGAGUAUCAUGAACACCUCAACUCUCAUGGUUUGCCAUGAUGAGCUUGGACUUUGGGGGUCUUGCUGGCCUGUGGUCAGCUCCUCUCAAAUGAAUCAGCUUUCCAGUGUUUGGUGGCAUCACAAGUGUGAUAAAUAUCUACGCUUGUGGUUUCCUGCCAGGUAACCUUCAGUGAUGGAGGUUCGCUGGGGCUCAUAAAUGUCUCUCCUCAGCGAAGACAGCUUUGUAAAUGUUUGAUCUCAAAUCAGGUAGGACUACCCGCUGAACUUAA
rnacentral:misc_RNA from 1 species